AAUGCAAAGGGCCAGGAAGUGGGUUCCACUGCAGCCUUGCUGGCGACGGGAGGAAGCCAGGAGGAAGAACAGCUGCCAGGCUCUCCACUCGUCCGCCCCGGCCUUCGUCCUCCGUAACUCCGCAGGCCAGCAUGGGAACAGCCAGCAACAACCCCACCGGGCUCAAGUUUCCGCCCCUCGCCGCAGGCCAGCUGAAGAGCUACGCUCACCCUGACGUCCUGUGCCGCACCUUUGAGACUCUGUCUAACCUCCACGUGCUGCUCCCAAGUCAUCUGACGGAGAGACUUUGUUCCUACAAGAGUGAAGAGGACCAGCAAAAAUGUGAGGAUCCUGAAUUCUCCGGCUUGGAAAAGAUCUUGUCAAAGUACCGGCUGCCGGAAGAGGUCCAUCUGACCCCAAAGCCAAGCAGAAUGCCCUCGUGGAAAAGGAAAGCCAUCAACAGUCUAGGUGACGGGUGGAAGAAAUGCCACUUGUGGAAAAAGAACACAAAGGAGCCUCCGAUGUCCACCAUAGUUGUCAGGUGGCUGAAGAAGAACAUGCAGCCCACGGAGGACCUCAAGUCCGUGGUGAGCAGGCUCUCGGUGUUCGGGCCGAUCCAGUCCGUCACGGCGUGUGGGCGUCAGAGUGCCAUAGUGGUGUAUGAAGAUAUGAUGUCCGCGUGCCAUGCGGUGAAUGCUUUCCAAAGCAGGGCUCCAGGCACCAUGUUCCAGUGCUCUUGGAGACAACGAUUCCUGUCUAAAGAUACUAGCACUGAACAAAAGAGGCGCGAUGCAGGUUAGCGGAGGUGUUAGGAGGCGACGUCACAGCACGGCCUUCCCAGCGCAGCGGCCAUCAGAGCUUCGCUUUCCUGGACAAGAAGCUCGCGACGGCAUUCAGGCUCUCGUCUGACAUCCACCGCCCCUGGAUGGCCCUGCACUCCUCCUCAUUCACAGCGUGCAGCUUCUCUCUCUCCAAGUUUCUGAGGAGUUCUUUCGAAACUCUCAUGGCCUGAGACAACAGAACCAACAGUCAGGCGAAGGGCUGUCGCCAGAGGAGUGGGACUGUUCUGAGAUGUCAGUGUCCUUUCUGCAGUGCUCCCUUGACUAAUCCUCCUAAGUCCCAGGACACAGGGGAGAUGCAAGCCAGCGCUCUCCACUCCCAGAGUUCAACGCGCCCACAGAUCAUCUCAGGAGGCGGGGCCAGGCUUGCAACUGCACAUUUCCUAGAAGUCCCACACGGAUGGGAAAGCCUCAGGUUCCAGGACCUCACUGGGAAUAGCAGGUGUAGAGAGCAGUUGGUCAGCGACUACCCCGUGCUACUGAAGUGCAGUCCCCGUGCCCGGCUUCACACCUGGGCAGCAGAACACACAUCCUUGGCGGAUGGCUACGCCUCCUCCGCUGGUUCUCCCCAUGAAGAAGCACCCCCGCCCUCCCAUCGGAACAGAAAGUCUCUUUGCUAAGUUCUGUAAAAAUCAGUAUUCUCAGCCUUACUACGGUUCUUUUCCAUCCCAAAUUUACAUGCGCUUAGAGCCCAUUAAAAAUGUGUCUUUUUCUGACUUGGGAAAUUAUGUCCAUGGUCCCUGCAAGUAAAAGAUGCAAACUCACGUUUUUGGGGAGCUUUGCGUAUGUUUUCAGCCUGGUCCAAACCUCCCUCUGGAAAGUGCUGUCAGGGAAAACCUCAGUGACCAGCCCACGAGCACAGGCCUCUGCCGCUGUUAACUUCUUCCCGAAAAUGAGCACCUCCGCAGCCUGAAAGGGGAAGCAAGGCUGCGACCCUCGCUCAGGCAACGAAGCAGCGAAGCUUCGGUGAUGCACCGAGCGACUGCAGGGGACGGCGUUGCCGGGGUCCCUGGAGCUCCCUGGCGGGCCUCAGCAGAGGGGGCGCUGGUGCUCUCACUGGGCAACGAUCUGCAAACUGUGUGUGUGUGCACGCACACUGCCAUAUGUGUACACACGUGUGCUGCCGUGUGUGUGCAUGCAGCUGUGUGUGUGCUCAUGCGUGCUGCCGUGUGUGCACAUGCUGCCAUGUGUGUGCACGCAUGCUGCCAUGUGUGCUCACACGUGCUGCUAUGUGUGUGUGCUCACGUGUGCUGCCGUGUGUGUGCUCACGCGUGCUGUCGUGUGUGUGUGCACACGUGCUGCCAUGUGUGCACACGCUGCCAUGUGUGUGCUCACGCGUGCUGCUGCUGUGUGUGCAUGCAUGCUGCCGUGUGUGUGUGUGUGUGUGUGCGUCUCCACGGAGGCAGGACUGGGAACCUGGGAGCAGUGACCUGCCGUGGACGCUGACACACAGCCCACAGCAGCAUUUUGUGCUUUAAGCACUAUGAAGUGGUACAAAAGAGAAAAGGGAGCAAAGAAACAUUGCAGAUGCGGGGCCAACCUUCAGAAACCUUCCAAAUUCCGUUCCCGGGAGUUCUGCCCAGUGGUCUAGCUCUGAGUUUUUCUUACCUGCACAGGCACUCAAAUGAGCUGCAUCUGAAGCAAAGAUGACUUGCAUUGAGUUUCUUAAAAAAAAUUGAAGUCAUCAAGCGGAUAGCCUCUCUGCACCUGGUUUGUGGCCAGUGAAAAGUGAGCGCAAGCCAAAUGCUCUGAGCCGCAGAGCCGUUCGGCCCAGCCUUUCAAAGACCAAAUCCAGAUAGCAAUUUAGGGAAUGUGGCUGCAAAGUGAGAUUUGAAAAUGCAUACACUCACAGCCAGGGCCUAGGACUGGUGAAAACUGGCUCAAUCCCCACCCCCACCUAGGAGAAGCCGAGGAACCCUGGCCUAGCCUCUCCCUUGGCCCACUUCUCCAGCUGUGUCCUGCUCCCUUCGGAGUCAGGGCGGUGAGGUUUCCGUGAACACAGGGUGGACUGGCACAGCCCCUUAGUGGUGCUGCCAAAUGGCCGGAUGGGAAGCUGCUGGGACUGACUGGCUUUGGAAGUGGCCAGCCCCCACGAAGCCUCCCACCUGCGGGAACUUCACACCACCCUGGACCUGAAGGUGUCACCACGUCACCUGCAGGGGGUGCUGCUGACCAGCUGAGUGGCCGCCAGGUUCAGUGGACGCAGGGAGGCUGGCACAACCCUGACACUUCUACUAGUCCACACAGCUGAGGAUGAGCCCUGUGCUGCCGGCAAUGCAGCCGGCAUCAGGCAACCAGAGGCUGGGGAGUCGCCGGCACCAUCUCUCAAAUCACGCCCUGUCCCAGACACUUCCCACAGAAUGUUUACUCAAGAAAUUACUCCGAGAAGACACAGCCUAAGAAAAGUUCAUAUAAUCAGGAAACUGAGAAAAAACGGCGACCAUAGCAGAGGAGCGCAGACAGGAAAGCUGCAGUGCCUUCUGGGUACGCAGGACUUCCCUGAAGCCCGUAAGUCUAAGCAAAGAACACCUAACCCUGCUGUCUGAGGACGACUCAUCUCCCUGCACAAAGCAAACCAGAGAUACCAUAGGAAUAGGAGCGAUGCUAAAACUACAAUUUUUGAAUAAAGCAAAUAAAGAAAGAAAAGUAGGAACAACCCCCUGGCAGGUAACGCUA